rnacentral:rRNA from 1 species
AGCGAACGUUGGCGGCAGGCUUAACACAUGCAAGUCGAGCGGACCUUUCGGGGUCAGCGGCGGACGGGUGAGUAACGCGUGGGAACGUGCCUUCCGGUUCGGAAUAACCCUGGGAAACUAGGGCUAAUACCGGAUACGCCCUUAUGGGGAAAGGUUUACUGCCGGAAGAUCGGCCCGCGUCUGAUUAGCUAGUUGGUGGGGUAACGGCCUACCAAGGCGACGAUCAGUAGCUGGUCUGAGAGGAUGAUCAGCCACACUGGGACUGAGACACGGCCCAGACUCCUACGGGAGGCAGCAGUGGGGAAUAUUGGACAAUGGGCGCAAGCCUGAUCCAGCCAUGCCGCGUGAGUGAUGAAGGCCUUAGGGUUGUAAAGCUCUUUUAUCCGGGACGAUAAUGACGGUACCGGAGGAAUAAGCCCCGGCUAACUUCGUG